UCAGCCUAUAGACUAGCUACAGCGUCUACAAAUACAUAAGAAUACACAGUUUGUUGUCGACAACUUUUUAGACAUACUUGUGCAAUCCAUAUUAACAUACAAAAUUAUCUAGCUAGCAAAUGAUAUGGUAUCGAGCAUCAACAUAACUUUACAUAAACUGUAACAAAUAUGAGAUUUUUUUUUGAUAAAGGUAGAAUAUGUAUUGAUAAGAAACCAGAAAUACAAAGACUGGACGAGUGCAAUAACUGCACCGCCAGUUUAAAACCACAAGAACAUAUCCUUGGUUCACAGAAUCCCAUUCUCAGUCCCUGAACUCUAUAUAAACUGUAACAAAUAAGCAUGAAAGCAACAACAUAACAGACCCAAGAAACAACUCUAAAUCCCUGUACUUUACAUGUGCUUCUGUUUGCACCAAGAAACUCUGUUACUCCCUGCUGCAAUCACUGCUAUAAAUUCCCCAACAUCAGCCAAUGAAUUUCAGAGCUCCCCUUCAGCAAAACUGUCAGACAUUGUUGUUUGGUCAUGUAGUUUCAACUUCCCAGACCCAUGAGUCCCUUGAAUAGUUAACCUAAAAGAAUAUGUUUGAUUUGAAUUAGGACAGACAACAUCAUCAUGAAAAAACUCUGGAAUACAAUUUUAAUUUUAAAUAAAAAUUUUAAAAUCUAAUUUUCUCCCAUAUUGAAACUUGCAUUGAUAAACUGGAGUAUACAAAGAAGGGCUAGCUAUAUUAAUGUGGUUCUCAUACAAGGAAAGAAAUAAUGGGGACCUCAAUCCUGCCUGUAACAAUGGCAAUGUGAAAGAGAAACAAGAAUCAAGUGGGUGGGUUGUCAUUCAUGAUAUACAAAGGAAAAGUUAAAGACCAUGAUUAAGAUUUAUUCAUCACUUUACUGAUUAGUCUAUAUACUCAAUCCAUUAAUCGAAAAUUUAAUAUCUUAUUCCUUAAAACCCAAUCAUCAUCAAUAUAAUAAACAGUUAAACACAUAUACGAAUCUCUUGUGCACUGUGUUGUCCACAAAUCAGUCGUCAAACUAACCCGACUUGAAAGUUUUCCCAAACUACUAUAAAGUGCAUUUUUCUCUUCCUUGUAUAAUUUCACAAUAUCACCUCGAACUGUAUUUCGAUGCUUUAAAUCAAAUUGUGGUUGAAGAUUGUUCACAAACUUUCUAAAAUACUCAUGCUCAACCAUCGAAAACGGGUAAUUAUGUUUAACAAUCAUCUCGGAAAGAUCUUGUCUACUCCGUUCUUGACAAAAUUUGAUCAUCUUAGUUGAAGGAGUUCCCUUAUCUUUUCUACUCCGUUCUUGACCUGAUUCAUUUUGUUUUUUUAUAAAACAUCUAUUCAAAUGAUUUCGCAAGCUAGAAGUUCCAUUGACCCUAAAGGUUUCUUUACAAUGUUUACAAAUAGCACUUUGUUUAUCUUUACUUCUCUCAAACUCUAACCAUACAUUAGACCUCAAUGUGUUUUGUGAUCCACUAAGUUUUUUUCUCUUCGAUGAAUUACUAACCCCGUCAAUAGAAUCCAUCGACCAAUGGACCGACAUCUUACAAUGAAUCACUGUAAUUACAAACCCAAAAGAGAAAAACUCAACCUUUCCUUUUCAAACCAAAUUAAUCUCCAACAGUUUCAGCAGCCAUUAAAGAGUUGUUUGAAUGAAAACCCAAUAUAGAAAAACUCAAACAAAAGAACCCAACAAUUAAAAAUCAAUUGUAAUCACAAACCCAAGUCUCUAUGUCAACUUUCUAGUUCCCAAAUUCAACAAUCAAAUAAAAUCACAAACUUACCUAGAAAAUGAAAGAGAGAUCGAUUGAGAAGAUGAAGAUGAUUUGAUCGAAAUUCUUCAAUCAAAUAAAAUCACAAAAAAUUGAUGAUGAUGAUCUGAUCGAAAUUAUUCAACCAAAUUCUUCAAUUAAAUAAAAUCACAAAAAAUUGAUGAUGAUGAUCUGAUCAAAAUUCUUCAAGUUUAGGGAAAUUGAUUAUAAUUUUUAGAACAAAAGAGAGAUCGGAUUGAGAAGAUGAAGAGAAGGUAAAGUUAGGGGAAAGAGAGAGAGAUCGAGUGAAAUUUGUUGUUU
rnacentral:lncRNA from 1 species